rnacentral:rRNA from 1 species
UACGAAGGAGGCUAGCGUUGUUCGGAUUCACUGGGCGUAAAGGGUGCGUAGGUGGUUAGGUAAGUCCGAUGUGAAAUCUCCAGGCUCAACCUGGAAAUGGCAUUGGAUACUAUUUAGCUUGAGGAGUGGAGGGGGGACUGGAAUUCUCGGUGUAGCAGUGAAAUGCGUAGAUAUCGAGAGGAACACCAGUGGCGAAGGCGAGUCCCUGGACACUUCCUGACACUGAGGCACGAAAGCUAGGGGAGCAAACAGG